rnacentral:lncRNA from 1 species
AAGAAUUCUCAGUAACUUCUUUGUGUUGUGUGUAUUCCACUCACAGACUUGAACCUUCCUUUAGAGAGAGCACAUUUGACACACUCUUAUUGUGGAAUAUGCAUGCAGAGAUUUCAAGCUCUUUCUGGCCAAGGGUAGAAAAGGAAAUAUCUUCGUAUAAAAUCUAGACAGAAUCAUUCUGAGAAACUACUUUUUGAUGUGUGCGUUCAACAUACAGAGUUUAACCUUUCUUUUCAUAGAGCUGUUUAGAAACACUCUCUUUGUAAUAUCUGCAAGUGGAUAAUUGGAGUUCUUUGAAGCCUUCGUUGGAAACGGGAUUUCUUCAUAUAAUGUUAGACAGAAGAAUUCUCAGUAACUUCUUUGUGUUCUGUGUAUUCAACUCACAGAGUUGAACCUUCUUUUAGAAGGAGCAGAUGUGAAAACCUCUUUUUGUGAUAUUUGCAGUUGGAGAUUUCGAGCGCUUAUACGCCAAAAGUAGAAAAGGAAAUAUCUUCGUAUAAAAUAUAGACAGAAUCAUUCUCAGAAACUACUUUGUGAUGGGUGCGUUCAAUUCACGGAGUUUAAACUUUCUUUUGAUUGAGCAGUUUGGAGACACUCUCCUUGUAAAUUCAGCAAGUGGAUAUAUGGACCUCUUUGUGUCCUUCGUUGGAAACGUGAUUUCUUCGUAUAAUGUUAGACAGAAGAAUUCUCAGUAACUUAUUUCUGUUGUGUGCAUUCAACUCACAGAGUUGAACUUUCCUUUAGACAGAGCAGAUUUGAAACACUCUUUUUGUGGAAUUUCCAUGUGCAGAUUUCAAUCGCUUUGAGGCCAAUGGUAGAAAAGGACAUAUAUUCGUAGAAAAACAAGAGAGAAUCAUUCUCAGAAACUACUUUGUGAUGUGUGCGUUCAACUCGCCGAGUUUAACCUUUCUUUUCAUAGAGCAGUUUGGAAAAACUCUCUUUGUAAAGUCUGCAAGUGGAUAUUUAUACCUCUUUGAGGCCUUCUUUGGAAACGGGAUUUCUUCAUAUAAUGCUAGAAAGAAGAAUUCUCAGUAACUUCUUUUUGGUGCCUGUAUUCAACUCACAGAAGUGAACCAACCUUUAGACCGAGCAGAUGUGAAACACUCUUUUUG